AACGAUUUCAUUAUGGUGGAUCUCAUAUCAAUUUUACUACAAUAAAUGAUUAUAAUAAAUUCGUUGUAUAUAAUAAACAGACACUUUUGCAUUCAGGGUGAAAAUAUAAAGCAGCAUAAAAUGGUAGUUCCUCUACCUAGGCAAUAUAUGAAUAUUAGCAAUGAUAGUUUCCUCUACCUAGGCAGUAUAUGAAUAUUUUCACAGUAUGUUUCUUGAUAAAAAUAUUAACACUCUCCUUUCAAAUCAAAAAAUAAUUAGAGUUUUGAUUUCCCACCUUUACUUCCAGGAAUCUGUAAUGCAUCAUAAUGACCAAAACCAUGAUACAGAACUCGAAUUGGAUUGUCAUUGCCAUAUUCUUGACCAUACUCGGCGACAGUUAUAAGGCCACCAUCUUUCUGUUCAUACAUGUAAACAGUGAUUGCCAUCUUGAGAACAUGUGAAGCCAUGAACAACUCAGGCUCACCCCCCCAUACAUGUGGCUUCCUCAUAUGUGCCACAUAGGUGUUAAAAUCACCUUCUACAAACCAUUCUGUCUCUUGCCUCCUCUUGAUAAACUCAUCAGCAACCUGACAAAUUUAACAAACCAACAAUAAUCAUAAGUCCUUUUGAUGAAAAAUUAAUGCAAACAACUGGAGCCUGCCUUCUACAUUUGAACAUAUCAUUAGGCAACUGCCUGUAAUAUAUGAGUCAAUCUAGGUCUAUACAGAGUCAUCAUUUUCACUGCUUAAAAGUUCUACCUGAAAGAAGCAUUCCAAAAGAAGUGGUGGGAGAGAGAGACACAAAAUUAAUGAUACAAUACAAAAGCAAACUCAACAGAAGGCAAUGGAUGGCAAUCUUGCAAGUUGCACGCCAUGAACCAUAUUUUUCACAGAAACCAAAUUUCAGAUUCAAAAUUAUGAAAAAGGCAUUAGUAAGAUACUCUAGUCCGCAAGUCAUCAGCUAAUUCUCUCUGAAGACUUUCACUUGGGGCUGGUUUUCUGGCUCGUAAACAAGCCCCAUGGGCCACAGAGCGGAACAUACACCUUCCAUCUCCUGGUAUUCCAGUAAUGGAAUAGUCAGUAUAGACUUUCUUCCCAUGCGAGAAUUUAACAUAUGAUAAAUCAGAAUCAUCCUCUUCAUCCUUCUUCUCCGCAGCUGCUUCAGCAUGUGUUGACUCAAAACUUGAAAAACAAAUCAAGGGACCAAAAAUUAAGCCUGCUGAGGCAUAUUCUUGCAACCAUGAUAUAGAUCCCACAUUACCCUUUAUUUUGGAGUGUGUUUCUCGUUUUGACAAUGAAAACCUCAAGUUGAAAGUUUGAUAUGCCAGUGAAAUAUUGAAGUGUCUCUUCAAAGGACCUCUAGCAUUAAAUAAACCUUUCACUGUAAAUGACUGGCAAUUGCCACUCUGCUUGGAUGAGCCUGGCCUAAAACAGCUCCUAUGCAAUGUGUGAAAGCUACUAAUAGAUGGACUAGUUAAUUUCUUUGAGACAGAUAAGUGAGCAUAAUUUUCUCUAGAAUUUCCAGGGCACAAACUGAAACAACUGGAUUGUCCUCUGGACAACAAAUUCAAAAUAGUGCUGCCCAUAUGUUGAACACACUCACUCAGGUAGACAGCAUUUCUUACACCUGUGCUGAUGGGAGAGCAAAUUAUAUCAUCCUGGCAUAGCCUGAGGCAGAAGCUCAAUGUGAGACAUUUUAGUUAAGUUUGAAAAAAAAAUUAAGUAGAAAGCCCUUAAAAAAUACAACCAUAUAUAUAAGGAGAUCCUAAGGAAGAUAUUAGUUCAAAGCAGUGAUCAAAUAGUAAGGAGAUCCUACAGUUAACGUCAUUUGGAUUGCAGUGAAGGAUAUAUAAGCAGGGAUUAGUAAAUUCAAAGCACGAGGUAACUAGUCAAAGAACUCAUAGUCACAGUAUCUUUGUUCUUUAACACAAAUCUCACAAUAAUCAUACUUUCUCAGAGUCAAGUCAAAUUAGAAAACCAGUUUUAACAUUUUAACAACCAGGUUAGGAAUCUGCUGAAUCCCCAAGCAGAGGGGUUUUCACUAUCUUACAGAACUUCAUAAUUGUUAGUCACAGAAGCUAUUAGGCUUACGUAACAAAUGGGAGGUGUGAUUCUCACAUUCCUUCAGCUUUCUUCUAAAUCAAAGAAAAAAAAUUUGAUAUUAUGAUCAUAAACUGCCUGGAAGUCAACUUCAUAAAAGAAUGAUGAUAUACUAAUCCAAUAAUAUUAUAGGAUUAGCAUUCUAAACUGUUGUUCAGCGACAUAUAAUUACCAUUAGCAUUCCUAAACUUGAAUCAUCCUUGCAUUUUCAAGUAAUAAAUGCUACACAAAAAA
rnacentral:misc_RNA from 1 species